UCCCGUCCCCCGGUCCCCGUGCCCCGUGCCCCGGCUCGGGCGCCGGCGCGGUCGCCCCGGCCCAGCGCGCGGACCGGCAGUCGCGUCCGCGUCCCCGUCCCGGCCCCCGCGGUUCCGGUCACUCAGCCCCCGGCCCCGUCCCGUCCCGAGUCCGGACGUGCGUCCCCGUCGCGUCUCCCGGGCCGGUCCCUUCGGCCCCGUCUCCCCUGGCCGGUCCCGGGCCCCCGGCAGAGCGGCUCCGUGCGCCGGGCUGCGGCCGCGCCGAAGGGAGCCCGCGGGGCCGCGAGUCCCUGUCCCGCUCGUCGGGGCCGCGCCGCUCCCCUUCGGCCUCCGGCGGCCCCUGCCGGCCCUUCCCCGCCUCGGGGCGGCCCCGGCCUGCGCUGUUCGCUCCGGUCGCCCCCGCCUCCGGCCGCGCUGUCCCCGCCGUCCUGCGCCCCAGGCUCUUCUGUCCCCAGCCCGUCGCCCCUCCGUGCCGCAUCCUCUGUCCCCGCCGUCCGCUCCCUGCAUCCCCCCGCCCUCCCCCUCCGUGCCCCGGACCCCCCUCGGUCACCCUCCACCCCUCUCUGGUCUCCUCCGGGCCCAGGACCCCCGACCCCCAGGGCUCAGGCCCGCCUGCUGGUGACCGCUGGACGGGGAGGGGACAGAGCCAUGUGUCGCAGGGACCUGCCCCGCUGGAGGGACCCGCGUCUGCCCUUCCCACUCCCCCGUGCGCCUCCCAAACCGCCUCAAGGGCAGAAAAGGGUCCGAAAGGCCUGGACGAGGGAUGUUGGAUCCCACGGCUUUUGAGCGAGGUCCUUUAGGGUCAAGUGUAGGUUUUACACUCGGAUUCUCUGAGACAGAAUGUCCACCUUUAAACAAGACAUGCUGGGGGUCUGGGGGACUCAGUGGGUGACGGUGACAGGUCGCCUUUGGCUCAGGUCAUGAUCCAGCGCCCUGGGAUGGAGCUCCGCAUCGGGGUCCUGGCUUGGUGGGAGCCUGCUUCUCCCUCUCCCACUCCCCCUGCUUGUGCUCGCUCUCUCGCUGUGUCUCUCCCUGUCAGAUAAAGACAUAAAAUCUUUAAAAAGAAUAAAAAAUCGAAAAGAGAUGCCUUAUAACUGGUUCUCCGUAGGGUCCCAGGCUUAGCGCCGCUUCCAUACCACCUCUGCACUUGUUAAAAACACCAUUUUCAGGCUCCAGCCCCCAAACUUACAGAAUGCAGAGCUGGGGUGGGACAGGCCGGUCCCAGCCACGGUGUCUGAGCGAGCGCCCUGCCAGAUGAUCACUGGCCUGUGUUCCUGUCAUUUUCCCGAGAAACAAAGAGGAUGUCUAGCCUUCUGCAGAAUGUAGAUUUGGACCUCAUUUGGACAGAUACACUCAAAAUGGUGAUUUCAAAUAAAAACAACAACAACAAAAAAAAACCCCGUAUAAAAACAGGAUCUGUAGACUGGUUUUCAAAGAGAAGCAGCGCUGUGACCUCCCACCGCACCCGUGAGCCAUCCCGCUUCUGUUGCUCAGCUCACGCCUGUGCCUGGCCAGAGAGAGAAAGAGGGAGAGAGAGAGCGAGCACACAAGCAGGGGGACCAGCAGAGGGAGAGGGGAGAAGCAGCUCUCCGCUGAGUGGGGAG